GGGGUCGUAGCGCAGCUGGGAGCGCGCUACCUUCGCACGGUAGAGGCCGUGGGUUCGAAUCCCAUCGACUCCACCA
rnacentral:tRNA from 2 species